rnacentral:lncRNA from 1 species
UUGUCUUGCCUGCCCAAAUGUAAGACAUGCCUUUGUUCCUCUUUCACCUUCCACCAUGACUGUGAGGCCUCCUCAGCCAUGUGGAACUACAGAUCUCACAUUCAUGUUAACUGGUUUAUUUUGAAGCAUAACAUUUCAUCAAGGUGUAUACCUGUAUGUGAAUAUUUAACAAUUUAGAAACUGAAACAGAUGCAGAUGAAGAAUGACCUACUUGAAAAUUUACCAGCCAAGCCUGUAAGCUGUGUAGAGUAAUGUCAACACAAAGGAAAUAUCAAUUCAAGUGGAUUCCAAUGUGCAAUCACAGUCAUUAGUAUGGAUUGGUGUCAAACUUUCAAGCAUUUGCCUUGUUUAUUGAACAACCUAAUAAUUCAAAAUGGUAAUGGGAAGAGGGUGGAGUAGGAAAAUAAGGAUAGACUCUGAAACCAAGGUCCUUAGGGCUUCUAUAUGAAUUUCAGAAUUACUGUCAAAUAAAUAUUUAUUGGUGUCCUUUCUCUUGUAUGUAGACAAUAAGUACACAUACAGAUAGCUGUCUAAAAAUUAAGUGUUAAGCUGGAAUUAGAUAUUGAAAUUGAGUACCAAUAUUAUCUUUAGUCAAUUUCCCUUAGGAUACUAUUUUGUGAAGAGAAAAUAUUAUUCAUGUGCAUAUUAAUUAAAGCUUUUAAAAUGAUCACUGAAAAUGUAUCCUCUGACCUGCAGAGUAUAUCCAGUGUAUGUUCUUAAGUCCUGGUGCUAGAUGCAAAUUAAAGAUGAGUAAUGCAAAUUGAAAUUUCCAUGAAAUGAAUCAUUCUACAUAAUGAGCUUUACAAAUUCCACAUUUUAUGCAAUACCAAAAAUAAAAAAAUAAAAAAUAAAACUCAAAUGCUUACCAAGCUAAAUGAUGCUGAAACUGUUUAUCAGCUGAAGAAUGGCAGCCAGCAAUUAAAAACAGUCAAGCUUUGCAGAAAGCAGCAAGAUAUUUAAAGAGCAGAUAUUUUACAAAUAUCAUAAGAAAAAGAAAAUGUCUAGAACUCUUUUAUAUAUGUUAAAAUAGAAAACUAAGGAAGAAAGGAAAUUUUUACAAGCAAAAUCAUUACAACACAUUUUAAAAAUCCACAAAACAAUGGUAAAAUAGUAUUAUGUAUCCUUAACUUUUAUGUUUUCAGAAUAGAUUAUAAUGACCAUAUAAUUGACUCUUCGAUGUAACUCCACUCUGGCCCUCCAUUUACAAGUUAUUUAAGGUUUCUGGAAACCUCAGGUUAUUCACAUGUAAGUGGAUUUCUAUGAGAAUGAAACAAAAUAAUAAGUGUUUAAUAUCAGGCUAACCAAAUGGCACAUAGAAUCCUCACAUAAUAGGUGUUCAGUAAAUGUUGCUUUUUUAUGUUCCUCUAUUGUAACCCAUUUAGUCAACAUAUGAGAAAAAUAAAAAUUACAACUACAUCCACCACUCCAAAAAUGAUUACAUUCAUAGUUAACUAUGUCCCUACUAUCUCUAUUCUUAGAUAAGGUCAUAACACAAAAUAGCUACCCCUUCUAGAAUAAUUGAUCAAAUAAGGAAUGUCCGUUGAAACCGUAAAACAUGAAAGGAGCGUAGAUACACAUAAGGUAAACAAUUUAUAAUUUUUAUUCGUGUUAGGUUAACACUAGCCCCCAUAACAGAUAACACCAAAAUAUCAAAAGCUUAAUAUAAUUUUAUUUUUCACUAAAUUCUAAUUGUUGGUGGGAAGAGGUUUGUGCUGCUUGAUAUAUCGCCCUUUGUGGAUUCGUUGUCUCAUGAAUGAAGAAUAUGCUUCUUAUUUAAGUUUGUUUUCCAAUAUCUCCCCGAGAGUCAUCCUCAAUUCAGCAGGAAGGGGGAACUGCAAACUCAGUAUAGAGUACGAGAUGUGUCAAGUUGUGUUAGAAUAAUCCUGAAAAAGGCUUACAUCACUUAUCUCCAUACAUCAGUGGCCAAGGCUUACUCUUUUGGCCAUAACUAAUUGCAAGGGAGACUAAAACCAAAGGGAAAAUUGUUACUGGACCUCCUAAUUUAUCUGUUCCUAAGAAAAGUCAGAAUUGAAUACAUAGAUAGCAAACAUAUAGUCUUUUUAUAUGGUUAUGUGUAUAAUAUACUCUUAAAAUAUUUUAUAAUCAUAUGCUUGUUACAAAAUAAGGAGCUUUUGUCAGUGCAUAUUCAUUAUCACAGUGAAUAUGCAGUAUUGAAUCUUAAAAUAAUAUUUUAUUUAAAGAGAUGAAUAUUCUGGAUUGUGACAUAUGUAUACAAAAGGUUGGGAAUCCAAUUAAUAACCUUUAUAAUCUGUAUUAUAUAAAUGCAGUACUUCCCAUUAUUAAUGGUAGUUUCUAGUAUGAGUGAGGGCAAAUAAAAACAUUAGACACAAAAUAGUAAUUUUGACAGGCCUUAAUCCAACUAUAAGCACAUUUUAAAAGUUUCUUAGGUUUGACAUAUUUAUCUAAGAAACAAAAGGAAUACUUAUAAGUUAAUUAAGAACAAAAGUUGAAUAUUAAAAAUUAAACUUACCUUCAUCCACAUUAUCUGAUAUAUUUAAAUAUUUUACUUAUCCACUUAAAAUUUAUUGUGCAAAGGGUGUUACAAUUUUUUCAGAUAAAAUCUUUCUGAGUUCAAAAAAAUGUGUUUGAACAUAGUAAAUAAAAUUUAUGUUUUCUAUGUGCCAAUAUUCUCCACUAAAUUUAGAAUUAAACAAUUGACUUGAGAUCUUACAUUAGUUAAUGUUAUAAUUUCCACAAUUUAAGAUUUAAGAAACUAUAAGAAAUCUAAUAAAGAGACAAGAUAUGAUACAUGGCUUAUAAAGAAUUAAGAAAUACUUAAUUCUUUAUAAUAGAAUUGCUUAAAAA